AUUGAACGCUGGCGGCAGGCUUAACACAUGCAAGUCGAACGAGUGGCGGACGGGUGAGUAAUGUCUGGGAACCUGCCCGAUGGCGGGGGAUCACUACUGGAAACGGUAGCUCAUCCCGCAUACCAUCGGAUCGGCCACUCUGGGAUUAGCUAGUAGGUGGGGUAAAGGCUCAACAAGGCAACGAUCCCUAGCUGGUGUGAGAGGAUGACCAGCCACACUGGGACUGAGACACGGGCCAGACUCCUACGGGAGGCAGCAGUGGGGAAUAUUGCACAAUGGGCGAAAGCCUGAGGCAGCCAUGCCGCGUGUAUGAAGAAGGCCUUCGGGUUGUAAAGUACUUUCAGCGAGGAGGCGGUACUCGCAGAAGAAGCAUCGGCUAACUCCGUGCCAGCAGCCGCGGUAAUUC
rnacentral:rRNA from 1 species